GACGAACGCUGGCGGCGUGCCUAAUACAUGCAAGUCGAACGCAGUUGCGAACGGGUGAGUAACGCGUAGGUAACUGCCUCAUAGCGGGGGAUAACUCUUGGAAACGAUAGCUAAUACCGCAUACUGUGAGAUGGACCUGCGUUGUAUUAGCUAGUUGGUGAGGUAAAGGCUCACCAAGGCGACGAUACAUAGUCGACCUGAGAGGGGGAUCGGCCAAACUGGGACUGGGACACGGGCCAGGCCCCUUCGGGGGGCAGCAGUAGGGGAACAUUGGCAAUUGACGGAAGUCUGACCGAGGCACGCCGCGUGAGUGAAGGAGGGUUUCGGGUCGUAAAGGUAUGUUGUGAGAGGAGCGUUAACUAACCAGAAAGGGACGGCUAACUACGUGCCAGCAGCCGCGGUAAUAC
rnacentral:rRNA from 1 species